rnacentral:rRNA from 1 species
CUUCCGUAGGGUGAACCUGCGGAAGGAUCAUUAUUGAAUAAAGUCUGGUUAGAGGCCGUUGCUGGCUCAAUAAAGGAGCAUGUGCACGUCUCUUUAGAUGCCAGUUUCCAUUCACAUGUUCCUGUGCAUUUUUGUAGACACCUUGGAUUGAGGAACUUUGGCUAGUUUCUUGCUGUGAACUCAAGGUGUCUAUGUCUAAUAAACACGAAUGUAUGUAUUAUAGAAUGGUUUAUUGUCAAUGAAUAAAGUUAAAUACAACUUUCAACAAUGGAUCUCUUGGCUCUCGUAUCGAUGAAGAACGCAGCGAAAUGCGAUAAGUAAUGUGAAUUGCAGAAUUCAGUGAAUCAUCGAAUCUUUGAACGCAUCUUGCGCUCCUUGGUAUUCUGAGGAGCAUACCUGUUUGAGUGUCAUUAAAUUCUCAAAAGGCCCCUCUCUCUGAUUUGUUGAGAAGGCAUUUUGGAUACUGGGAGUUGCAGGUUUUAUAAAACCAGCUCUCCUCAAAUACAUUAGCAGGGAAAUAUGGCAUUUUCUCUAUUGGUGUGAUAAAAUCAUUUACACCAUGAAUAAGCCACUUAUAAUCCUGCUCUCGAAAACUUUUUACUGUCUUUGACAGUAAGUAGUAAUGACUAACUUGACCUCAAAUCAGGUAGACUUCCCCCCCCC